GCAUGAGCCCAGAUCCCUGGAAACCGGCGCUGGGCUGAGACUGCCGGUCUCGCGCAAGCGCGCACGCGCCGACGUUAAUCUCGGAGCCGGCGCCAGCAGCAGCGGCUUGGGGUGUCGGCUCAAGUGGGGCCGGCUGCGCGUCUUCCAGGCUGUUCGCGCGCUAGUCGCCGCUGAGGGGCCGGCGACGCGCGAGGAGUUCUGGCGAGGAAGGAACAGAAUUGCCAUUGGGCUCAGGGAGAGAUUACACUUCUUGUCUGCUUUGUUGCUAGUGUGGCCUUGUGGCCAAGCGCAGAACAUGUGCAGUGAUGAUGGUGCAACUUCUAGGUCGUCCCCAGCAUGGAAGAUGAGCCCUGGGCAUGGAAGAUGAGCCCUGGGCAUGAAAGAUGAGCCCUGGGCAUGGAAGAUGAGCCCUGGUCCUGCAGCGGUGCUCUUUCCUCUUCUCACAAGCUGGAAUGUGCAUGUGCUCCUACCCAGCUUUGACCAUGGGGAGAAGACAGUGCUCUGCAGUCUGGCAGAGCAACAAGGUGGAAAGGGCCUGGGUCCUUGAGUGACGUCAUGAGCCCUCUCACUGUCCCAGACCUUGGGACUGUUAUAUGAUAAGGACUUUCUGUGAGUCACUGUCUUUUAGAGUCUCUCUGUUUUAGCUGCCUGGACUUUAUCCUGGAUAAUAUGGCUGUUAUCAUGGGUAUAGUGUUACUAUGAGCCUCAUCUAAGUAAUUUCUACUCUGCCUUUGACCACUAAACUCAUGUGGGCCAA